GUGCUUGGUUCAGACAGGUGCAGGUGAUGAGCAGCUGCAGCAGCAGACAGGAAUGUUUAGGCUGAGGAUAUUUGGGGUGCCUCAGGAGUGUCUGCUAACCCGAAAUAUUGGGAGGAUGUUGAGGGAAUGGGAGCCAGUGGAGGUAGAUAAUUGUGUGGCCUUGAGAGCUUCCAAAGGGGCUGCAACCAUGACAAAAAUAAACUGGCAGAAACUGAGAGGCACUCACAUAUCCCCUUCAGAGAGUAUAGCAGAAAACCACUUUGUUCCCAGCCAAAGUACCUUCCAAAAUGUGCUGGCUGGGCAAUUUAUGAAGAUGUUAAGAAGCAUCAUCCCCAGAACUGAUCCCAUGGAGAAUCCCACUAAUGACUGUUUUCACAGAAAUAAAAUAAUGUUUUUCUCUUUA